rnacentral:lncRNA from 1 species
AUAACAGAUAUAUCAUAUCAUAUAUAUGCAUAGACAGGUACAAUGUCUACCAGCAACAAGGGUGGUAGCAGCGGUGACAACGGACAACAAAACCGGCAACAACAUUGCAGUAUCCUGCAUAGAUAGGUUUUUAUUACUGCAAAAUUGAUCCCGGCAGCGCUACCGGUAGUUGCGGUAGAUAGGAUUGUACAUGCAGGUCUCUGCAUAUUGCACCAGGUCUCUGGGCGCAGGCAGACGGGUCGCCAAACCUGCAGAGGAAAGUUUGAGACUUUGGAGGCGAAUGGAAAGAUUUGGAGGUCUACUCAGGGAAACGGAAGCAGAACAGAAAACUUUGGAAAUGUAUCUACAGAAGGAAAGGAGGGUGAAGCGUACCGAGCUCAUAGGCUUUUGCAGCCACGGCGGCAGCAAUGUGAGCGGAGAUCUUUCUGAUGCUGCUGAAGGGCGGGAAGAUCGAUCCCUUCUCAAAGUUCUCCUGAUUGGCCUGAUCAGCUAGUGCUUCCGCUGUUUAAAUGAUUACAGCCAUGAGAUUGCUUCACAUCAAACCCUCCCUAGUUUCCCAUUUGGAUACAUAAUUAACAUUUACAUAUGUUCAUUGACUCCAUUAAGAAGGUACUUACAGGCAGCAAGAAGCAUGUCCUCAUGGACACGGGUGGCUCCAGCCAUAAUCAGACCAAGGCCAAGGCCAGGGAAAAUGUAAGCAUUGUUUGCCUGUCAUGA